rnacentral:rRNA from 1 species
AUUUGCGGCGGCCAUGGCCCAGGUGAGACGCCCGGUCCCCAUUCCGAACCCGGAAGCUAAGGCCUGGCACGGCGAUGGUACUGCACCCGACAGGGUGUGGGAGAGUAGCACGCCGCCGCACCA